UACGGGGGGGGCAAGCGUUGUUCGGAAUUACUGGGCGUAAAGGGCUCGUAGGCGGCCAACUAAGUCAGACGUGAAAUCCCCAGGCUCAACCUGGGAACUGCGUCUGAUACUGGAUGGCUUGAAUCCGGGAGAGGGAUGCAGAAUUCCAGGUGUAGCGGUGAAAUGACGUAGAUAUCUGGAGGAAUACCGGUGGCGAAGGCGGAUCUCUGGGCCUUACCUGACGCUCAGGUGCGAAAGCUAGGGGAGCGAACGAGG
rnacentral:rRNA from 1 species